rnacentral:tRNA from 1 species
GCUGGGGCUCAGUGGUAGAGCGCUCACCUAGCAUGUUCAGGGUGCUGGGUUCGAUCCUCAGCACUGCA